rnacentral:lncRNA from 1 species
GCAUGCUCCCACCGCCGCCGCCGCCGAGCUGUCGCCGCGGGAUUCGCCGGCCCGCCGCCGCUUCCGGGUCCGCGGCCCAGCCGGAAGAGCGCGCGCCGCGUGGCCCCCUGGGAAGCGUAGUCCUGUCGUCGCUGCGCACGCGCGCACGUACGCGCCAGGAGCGCGGCGGCGGCGGAGUGACGACACUCGCUGGCGCCGCGCUCCUGGCGAGCCCCGCGGGCCGCGGGCGCUAGAACAUCGGCGUGGCAGGGGUUCGCCGGUGGAGCGGCGGGGUCCCCGGGGUCCCCCGAGGACGCGGCGGGAACGACAAGGGGGUGAACGCCAGCGUUCGCGGAGCCUGCCGGAGCGACGCCGGGCUGAGCGCUCUCGGGAGGCCCUUUAAGUCUGGGGUGACGUCAAUAAGAGGCGCAGUUUGUGGAGUCGCGGAAGUCAGAGCGCCGAUGUCGGGAGGUGUUUACGGUCGACCAGGACCAGAGCCGUCGCGCGAAGCUAGGCGACCUCCUCCUUGUGCACCUGGGAACUACGAAAAGGCCUUGCAGGGCUUUCUAGAAGGUGCCAGGAUGUGCAGCCUCCCCGGAGCAAGAACAUGCCUGCAGCUGAGGGCCCGGGCCGCUGGGCACCUGUGGGCCCCUCAGCCUCUGCCGCAGGUGCGCGGGCAGUCAGGGCCGCGUCACAGAGAGCCCCCUCCAACCCGAGCUACAGCCCCAGGGCGCCUGACAAGGUCAAGAUUUAAAAGAAUAAAACACCAUCUGUCCUGAGACCUAAAUGCUUGUUAAUUCAAUGCAAUACCCACAACCCACCCCAGGUUGGAGCAAUUUCCGGAUGAGGAAACUGAGGCUACAAGUGUCUGGGGCUGGAGGCUGGGCUUCCAACCAACGCCUGAUCUGCCCACGCGGCCCGCAUGGCCCCAGGGCCCUUGGCUCCCCCGCCGGUGUGUAAAGGGCCAGGUGGUGGGACAGGGGAGGUGUGUAAGGAAGGACGCAGGGGAAGGCUUAUUUGGGGGAUUGUUGGCGCACUGGGGCUUCCCCCUCCCAGAGUCAGGAGAGCAGGGCUGUGGGCCCCCGGGGCUCUUUGUGUGCCCACUAUCCUGUGGAGGGCAUGAGAGGAGCCACACGCCCCCCUCCCUGGAGCAGCUGGGGUCCCAGUGUGCAGGAGGCCCCAACAGCGUGCCUCAGGUCCUGUAGGCCGCAGGGGCUGGGCCGGACCCCUGUGUCACAAAGGGCCAAGGGAGCAGCAAGGGUGGUCAGCAGCCCUCCCACGCCCUGCAAACCUGGGUCCGGUCAGUGGAAAGAAGUGGACCACAGGUGUGACCACGUGGAGCUGUGAGCAGCCGUGCGCAUCGAACAGUGAUGGCACCCACAAUUAUGAAAUCACAGAAAUAAGGACGGGUGACGACUUGGGUGUGGUGAUGGGCAGAACCACAGGAACCAUCUGGUGGGAGAUCAGUCACUGCUUCUCCCAGGAUGUGACAUCCAGGACCCGUGGGUGAGGAUGCUGUGGGAGAGGGGUUUGAGCAGAGGCAGCAGCGUGGGCAGUGAGGUGAGGGCCCGGGGGCCAGGGCUCAGCCAGGCAGAUCUGCAUACCAUCCCUGGCCCAGCCUUGUGGGUCCCGGGAGGCUGUGGGGUUUACACUCAGAAGGCUUUUCUUCCACGUUGACUUUAUCCAGGUGAACGUUUGUAUCUUAUCACAGAGUGGAUUCAGCUCUCGGUCUGCAGAAGUGCACUUUGAGAUUCUGAUGUCUCUAACUGCAAAAUGGACGGCUUGUUCCAAUUCUUUCUGAGUUCACAACAUGGGGGCAGGAAUACAAACCACAAUCCCACCUUUGCAACAGCUAGAACUACAACAGGAGACAAUCUCUCAUGAGACUCAGUUUAAAUAAACUGCCUUGAUACGACA